GGCGGUGUAGCUCAGCGUGGUUAGAGCGCAGCCCAGAUCAGCCGUGAUGGCCCCAGGCUGAGGUCGGAGGUUCAACCCCUCCCGCCGCUACCA
rnacentral:tRNA from 1 species